rnacentral:rRNA from 1 species
GAUGAACGCUGGCGGCGUGCCUAAUACAUGCAAGUCGAGCGAACAGACGAGGAGCUUGCUCCUCUGACGUUAGCGGCGGACGGGUGAGUAACACGUGGAUAACCUACCUAUAAGACUGGGAUAACUUCGGGAAACCGGAGCUAAUACCGGAUAAUAUAUUGAACCGCAUGGUUCAAGAGUGAAAGACGGUUUUGCUGGCACUUAUAGAUGGAUCCGCGCCGCAUUAGCUAGUUGGUAAGGUAACGGCUUACCAAGGCAACGAUGCGUAGCCGACCUGAGAGGGUGAUCGGCCACACUGGAACUGAGACACGGUCCAGACUCCUACGGGAGGCAGCAGUAGGGAAUCUUCCGCAAUGGGCGAAAGCCUGACGGAGCCACGCCGCGUGAGUGAUGAAGGUCUUCGGAUCGUAAAACUCUGUUAUUGGGGAAGAACAACUGUGUAAGUAACUAUGCACGUCUUGACGGUACCUAAUCAGAAAGCCACGGCUAACUACGUG